UUUCCUUACCCGUCAAGUGUUUCGGAUGGUUGAUUAUCCAGCUGUCUGGGACUGUGGUAUCCUCUUUUAUAGGGUUGAGUUUGAUGGGGCGCUGACACGAUACGACCCGUCUUGAAACACGGACCAAGGAGUUCAGCAUGUCUGCGAGUCAAAGGGUGGUGAAACCUGAGGGCGCAGUGAAAGCAACAAAUGUAAGGAAAAAAAAGCAAUUUUAUGGCAGCAUACGAUCGUUGAUUGUAAGUCUGACCACGAGCAGAUAUGCUGAGACCCGAAAGAUGGUGAACUAUGCUUGAGUAGGGCGAAGCCAGAGGAAACUCUGGUGGAGGCUCGUAGCGGUGCUGACGUGCAAAUCGCUCGUCUGACUUGAGUAUAGGGGCGAAAGACUAAUCGAACCAUCUAGUAGCUGGUUUCCUCCGAAGUUUCUCUCAGGAUAGCAGGCCGACAAAGAAAGUUGUUGUGUGCGGUAAAGCUAAUGAUUAGCGUAUUUGGGGGUGAUAAGCCUCCAGUCGAUUCUCAAACUUUAAAUGCGCACGGAUGUUGCCGCUUGGGUGGGCGGCAUCUCCAAAAAUGUCGGCCUUGUGGGCCACUUUUGGUAAGCAGAACUGGCGAUACGGGAUGAACCGUAAGCGUGGUUAAGGCGCCUAAUUGUUCGCUCAAAGAUUCCAAGAAAGGCGUUGAUUCAUAUAGACAGCAGGACGGUGGCCAUGGAAGUUGGAAUCCGCUAAGGAGUGUGUAACAACUCACCUGCCGAAUGAAUUAGCCCUGAAAAUGGAUGGCGCUUAAGCGGGCAGCCGACACCACGCCGUUUGAACAAAGUGGCUUUCAGAUGAGUAGGAGGACAUGGCGGUCGUAUAGAAGCGUAUGUGCGAACGUGCGUGGAACGGCCGCUAGUGCAGAUCUUGGUGGUAGUAGCAAAUAUUCAAAUGAGAACCUUGAAGGGUUAAGCGGGGAAGGGUUCCACGCUAACAUUGAUUGGACGUGGGUGAGUCGUAUCUGAGGCAAUUGGCAAUUGCAAAAUAUAUUGGCGAAAGGGAAGCAGGUUGAUAUUCCUGCACACGGAUGUGGAUGGCG
rnacentral:rRNA from 1 species